UGGCGGCACUAGCGCGGUGGUCCCACCUGACCCCAUGCCGAACUCAGAAGUGAAACGCCGUAGCGCCGAUGGUAGUGUGGGGUCUCCCCAUGCGAGAGUAGGGAACUGCCAGACU
rnacentral:rRNA from 1 species